rnacentral:rRNA from 1 species
AACGAACGCUGGCGGCAUGCCUAACACAUGCAAGUCGAACGCGUGUAGCAAUACACGAGUGGCGGACGGGUGAGUAACGCGUGGGAACCUGCCCAAUGGUAGGGAAUAACUGCGGGAAACUGCAGCUAAUACCCUAUGCUCCCUACGGGGGAAANAUUUAUCGCCAUUGGAGGGGCCCGCGUCGGAUUAGCUAGUUGGCGGGGUAACGCCCACCAAGGCUACGAUCCGUAGCUGGUCGAGAGGAUGAUCAGCCACACUGGGACUGAGAUACGGCCCAGACUCCUACGGGAGGCAGCAGUGGGGAAUAUUGGACAAUGGGGGAAACCCUGAUCCAGCAAUGCCGCGUGAGUGAAGAAGGCCUUAGGGUUGUAAAGCUCUUUCGGCGGGGACGA